AGCAGCCGCGGUAAUUCCAGCUCCAAUAGCGUAUAUUAAAGUUGUUGCAGUUAAAAAGCUCGUAGUUGAAUUUUAGACCUGGCCGGGCGGUCCGUCUUUGGCGAGUACUGUUCUGUGUCGGGCCUUUCCUUCUGGUUAACCGGCGUGCUCUUCAUUGAGUGCGCCGUGCGAGCCAGGACCAUUACCUUGAAAAAAUUAGAGUGUUUAAAGCGGGCAUUUGCUUGAAUAGAUUAGCAUGGAAUAAUAGAAUAGGACGUUGGUUCUAUUUUGUUGGUCUAGGACCACCGUAAUGAUUAAUAGGGAUAGCUGGGGGCAUUAGUAUUCAAUUGUCAGAGGUGAAAUUCUUGGAUUUAUUGAAGACUAACUAUUGCGAAAGCAUUUGCCAAGGAUGUUUUCAUUAAUCUAAGAACGAAAGUUAAGGGGAUCGAAGACGAUCAGAUACCGUCGUAGUCUUAACCAUAAACUAUGCCGACUAGGAAUCGGGCGACGUUAUUUCAUGACUCGCUCGGCGCCUUAUGGG
rnacentral:rRNA from 1 species